UACGAAGGGGGCGAGCGUUGUUCGGAUUUACUGGGCGUAAAGGGCGCGCAGGCGGCUCAUUUUGUCAGGCGUGAAAGCCCCGGGCUUAACCUGGGAACUGCGUUUGAUACGGAUGGGCUAGAGUUCGGGAGAGGAGAGUGGAAUUCCCAGUGUAGAGGUGAAAUUCGUAGAUAUUGGGAAGAACACCGGUGGCGAAGGCGGCUCUCUGGACCGAUACGUGACGCUGAGGCGCGAAAGCGUGGGGAGCAAACAGG
rnacentral:rRNA from 1 species